CUCAUAUUGAAAAGUGGAAGCAACUGCAAAGAGUUUGUCAUAAAUAUGGAAAGUUUAAUAUACAUUGAUAUGUUAAAUGCUUCAAAAUGGAAAAUCCGAUUAGUAUUUGGGUACUGAUAGAACGUGAUACGUUCCUGAAUUAAUCGUACUCUGGUGGUGAAUUUUGAAAUUACUCCAUUUUGCGCGGCGUCAUAUUGAAAAGAAGAAGUAACUGUCGAGAAUUCGUCGUAAACGUGGAAAAUUUAAUAUACAAUACGAAGACAUUGGUUUGAAAUGGUAUGUCAUUUCUUCCCGUUCUCUGGAAAAGACUGACUGGUGCUUCAAAACCAAAGAAUUUUUCUCCCAUUGAAUUCGAUGGUUUCAAUUUGAUGAUUGCUUGAUGACGAACUCCCUUGGAUCAGAACAAUAUCGAGGACAACAUUCUUCACAUCUAAUCGUGAGUCGCAUGUAUUUUUGUUCCUCCGGUCUCUCAAUCAUGUCGAAGGAUGAAAGGUCCGAAUCGACACGGGUGAUUGGUUGUAUACGUAGAAUUUUUGACGAGCGUAGUGAUCGCGGGUAUUUAUUGUACCCGUGAGUAGUAACAUUUUCUUGUCUAUCAUACAAGAUACAUAUUACAGAAGUGUACAAUUCUGUAUGUAGGUACUUCAUUUGUAAGAUGUGUUCUGUUCUAUUUCUUAUUUGUAAUUUCAUAGGAAAUUUUUGUUUCGGUUCAGGCCAUUAUUAUACUGAAUCGAUAACGUCGCAUGCGACAUAAAGAUGAUACAAGAGUAAGAUUACCUCCAAAAUAUGGGGCGUGAAAAAGCAUCGCAUAUCAGGUCUAUUAUGUACCUCGUCGGUGAUUAGAACCACUGUUAAAAACGACAGACGAUCUCGUUCUUAGAUAAUAACGUGGAUUUACUUACACAGGGUACGACAGUGCAAUCGAUUGCUUUCGAUGAGAUACAAUUUCGCUUCUAGAUGGCGCAACAAUGUUCUGUCUAUGAGUUUCGCAUCAUUAAUUAUUCUUAUAUCUAACAAUAAAUUUAUAUGUUAAACAAGGGGGGUGCAUAUACUCUAUGAAGUAUAUAUAACUUGCAAUUAAUAUUUUCUUAAUGCAGCGAUUGAAUAAGAUAAAUACAUACUUCGUAUACCAUUUUUUGGCUAUGAUCGAAUUAAAAAACAGAGUAAGUAAUUUUACUUAAAUUCUUAAAAUAAUUACUAAAUGACAAGUUGAAUAAAAGUAACGUCAUAUUCUGUAUAAAUUGUAUUUAAGAUUUUCAUUGUUUAAAGUU